ACAUGUGCUGUCAUCCAGGCUUUAUUGCUCCAUUUAUAGAACACAAACAAAGUAUAUUUAGCAUAAUUAUUAAGGGACCUAGGAUUUUUACAAUGAUAAAUGAACACUA